GCUACGCUGGCGGCGUGUCUUAGCCAUGCAAGUCGAGCGGACUUAUGGGGUAACUUAUAAGUCAGCGGCGGACGGCGGAGUAACACGUAGCUAACCUACCCUCUGGACGGGGAUAACCUACCGAAAAGGUGGGCUAAUACCCGAUGUAGUCAUCCUGUAUAGGGGUGAUGAAAGGUGGGCUUCUGUUUACAAGCUCAUGCUGGAGGAGGGGGCUGCGGCCUAUCAGGUAGUUGGUAGGGUAAUAGCCUACCAAGCCGAUGACGGGUAGCCGGCCUGAGAGGGUGACCGGCCCGAGGGGCACUGAGAUACGGGUCCCACUCCUACGGGAGGCAGCAGGCUAGAAAUUUGGGCAAUGGGGGAAACCCUGACCCAGUGACGCCGCGUGCAGGAAGGAGCCCUUCGGGGUGUAAACUGCUGUCGUGUAGGGAGAAGGGUACUAAGGUGAACAAUCUUAGUACUUGACGGUACUACAGGAGGAAGCCCAGGCUAACCUCGUG
rnacentral:rRNA from 1 species